rnacentral:rRNA from 1 species
GACGAACGCUGGCGGCGUGCCUAAUACAUGCAAGUAGAACGCUGAAGGAGGAGCUUGCUUCUCUGGAUGAGUUGCGAACGGGUGAGUAACGCGUAGGUAACCUGCCUGGUAGCGGGGGAUAACUAUUGGAAACGAUAGCUAAUACCGCAUAAGAGUAGAUGUUGCAUGACAUUUGCUUAAAAGGUGCAAUUGCAUCACUACCAGAUGGACCUGCGUUGUAUUAGCUAGUUGGUGGGGUAACGGCUCACCAAGGCGACGAUACAUAGCCGACCUGAGAGGGUGAUCGGCCACACUGGGACUGAGACACGGCCCAGACUCCUACGGGAGGCAGCAGUAGGGAAUCUUCGGCAAUGGACGGAAGUCUGACCGAGCAACGCCGCGUGAGUGAAGAAGGUUUUCGGAUCGUAAAGCUCUGUUGUAAGAGAAGAACGAGUGUGAGAGUGGAAAGUUCACACUGUGACGUAUCUACCAGAAAGGA